rnacentral:rRNA from 1 species
AUGGCCCCUGGCCGCGCAGUUCGACCCCUGCAGCCGAAGGCCCGCCGCAGGCCAGCCGCCGGUGCUCCCGAAAGCCGUCUACGCCUGCUCGCCUCACCCAAGCAUUUGUUUGCCUCUCCACCCGACCGAGUGGGAGCUCGCGCCAACGCCAAGCAUUUUGGGGACACAAUGCACGUCGCCACCGGCAAGCAACUAGCAUCGAGUGCCGCCGCCGCCGCUCCUCCCGAUUUUAGGCUUCUCCCCCUUGCUCUGCCAAACAUCUGGAGCUCUUCCAUGGACAUCACGGUCCCUUGCUCCCUUGAGUGGAAUGGCGUCGGCGGCAUGGUGAACGUCUCCCCUGAGAGGGAUGAUGCCCAUGGCGAGGAGAACAAUUACACCUACAGCAUGGAGAGGGUCGCCACAAAGACUAGCAAGGGUGCCUACAGCAUGGAGAGCAACGGUGUUUUGCUGCAGAUCGAGAAGACCUGCCACCAGUGCCGUCAGAAAAUGGCAAUCAACAUUAUGGCAGCUUGCAAGAAUAUGAAGAAGUCUCGGUUGUGCUCACUCAAGUACUGUCGAGAUUGCUUGCGUAAUAGGUACGGCAUGAAUUAUAUAAAAGUGGGGCUGCAAGAUGCCUGGAGCUGUCCAAAAUGCAGGGGAGAAUGCAAUUGCAGUGUAUGCAUGACCAACAAUGGAGAGAAGCCGACUGGGAAUUUAACCCGAGCUGCCAAGGCAUCGGGGUGCUCCUCCGUCCAUGAGUUUCUAAACAAGGGGACGUACGUGGUGGCUGCACCACAGAAUUUGGUAACCCCUCUCAAGAGUGCAGACGCUGCUAACUUUGAGGCUAGUCCAGGUGCAUUAAAUCUAUUGGGCCAUACCAAACAUAUUUUUAAUCGCCUACCAGAUUUAAAUUUACCUCUUGGUCCCCCGGAGGUUGGUUUUCAAGCCUUCCAGGCCCAUAUCAACGCUGAUCUGAAUGUGAAGGAAGAGCAAGAUAUUUUGAAUAUUGAUCUCAACAUGACAGUACAGAAUUUUUUUGUGAAUUAUGCACCCAAUGCUGAUGAAAGCGAGCUUGUAGAUGAGAGUAUUGAAAUCCUAAAUGAAGAAGAACGUAAAAUCCAAUCUCUUGCUUUGGCACCUAUCCAGGAGAACAAGGUUCUGUCACUCAAUACACCGAUUCAACCUGACAAGCUGGACACUCAGCCUAAUAUCACUAAUGGUUCUUCAAAGAAUGUUGUUGUGGGCACUAGGGAAGACUCUUCUAACCCCAUGCUGGAGAUGGCUCCCCUUGGUUUCUCUAUAAAAGACAUUCAUGUGGUUGGAAGUAAAGGAAUCCUCAUUUCCGAAGCUCAUUUUGCUCGUGGGGUUGAUAGCUCUAAGGUGGUUCAGGCUCCCACUUCCAAGAUGCAUCUACCUAAUGUGGGAAAAGAUGAUGUUGAUAUUACUUUUUCCACCCAUCAAAACAAACCUACUGCCCCUCUAACACCAGGAGAAACACCAGAGCAGAUCUCCACCACAAGUGAAUUGCGAGUGAAAGGAAAAAGGAAGAAGAGAGAUCCUCUUGUGGAUCUUAUUGCAUCCGAGGUGAAACCAAAGGAAAAAACUGAGGCCAUUCUCAACAAGAAGCCUAAUAGGAGGGUGGGUAAAGUAGCCACCAUGAAGGGUGAACCACUACUGCACAAUGAACCUAAAUCAGUAGAGCUUUAG